rnacentral:rRNA from 1 species
AUUGAACGCUGGCGGCAGGCCUAACACAUGCAAGUCGAACGCGUGGCGGACGGGUGAGUAAUGUCUGGGAAACUGCCUGAUGGAGGGGGAUAACUACUGGAAACGGUAGCUAAUACCGCAUACCAGCGGAUGUGCCCAGAUGGGAUUAGCUAGUAGGUGGGGUAACGGCUCACCUAGGAGAAGAUCCCUAGCUGGUCUGAGAGGAUGACCGGCCAACCUGGAACUGAGACACGGGCCAGACUCCUACGGGAGGCAGCAGGGGGGAAUAGUGCACAAUGUGCGCAAGCCUGAUGCAGCCAUGCCGCGUGUAUGAAGAAGGCCUGCGGGUUGUAAAGUACUUUCAGCGGGGAGGCGUUACCCGCAGAAGAAGCACCGGCUAACUCCGUGCCAGCCGCCGCGGUAAUUC